UCUCACGCUUCUCACUUUCUUCGUCUCUUUCUUUCUCUCUGUCUCUCUCUCUCUGAAACAAAGAACGAGAUUCAAGACCUUACAAAAAAUCACACCAGAAACGAACUCUGUCUCUCCUCGUUCUCUAUUUCUGUCUCAACCACUCUUUUUAUCUAUCAUCUUAUCAAUGCUUCUUCUUUUCCAGAUGCAUAUUCAUGGUCUUAGUUAACACCAACCACAUCUCAGGUAGUAAGGGACGGGGAAGAGGAAGUGGAAUGGAUAAUGGGACGCCUGGUGGUUGUUCUUGUUCUCGAUAGGAAGAAGCAUGAUAUGAAAAAGCUGUGCUAGUGGAGAUGGAGCAGAGCAAGAAGAAAAAUAGUAAGAGGGAGAAGGAGAGAAGACAGAAGAUGACGAUGGGAGGAAGAUGACGGCAGAAGAUGAAGGCAGUGGGGUAGAUUAGGUUUAGUUGGUUGAUUUAUUAGGUUUGGUUUAGAUAGGAUUGGUUUAAUAAACCGGGUUUGUAUGUAAACCAAUGUUAAUAAAUAAAUUGGUAUUAAUUGUAAACCAAUUAUUUGUAUAUUGUUUUAGUUUAAUAAAUAAAAUUUAAUUUUUAAUUAUGAA